GCUGCUGACUUUGGCAAAAACAAGAAAAAAGCCCAAAUAGUACCAGAGGACAAAGAGAUGGAGACAAGUUCAGGUCUGUCUCCAACUGUUGUAACAGGAAUAUGUGCUGCUGUUGUUCUGCUGCUGGCUGUUGUUGUUGUUGUUGGUGUGAUGAUCCAUUGCCGCAGGAGAUCCAGAGAUGACAUGAAGAAAAUCAAACAAGUGCCAGAACUAGUGUCUGAUGAUGAGACACAGAAUGAAACAAGUCUCAUGACCUGAGAGGAUGGCAAAAGCUUGGGCAAAAAACAAGCUCCUCGUAAAACCAAAAUAAGUUUGAGCUGAAACAUAACUAAUAUUAACCAUGUGAUGCUUACAGUCAUAUAGUCUUUCUUGUUCAUUUCUAAUUUUAUCAUUUGUGAUGCGAUCUAGGAAAACCCAACACAUAGUGAAUUUUUAACAAAAGUUAUGGCCAUCUGAAGUUGGCUGAUUAUGAUUUUCCGGAAUGUUAUUUUGGGUUUCUAUUUAAGGAUCUUCUGUCAGGGGCGAUAUAAUGCAUCAUUACACAAACAGACUAACAUAUCCCUAAAGAGGACAGUUUUCCGAGGUAUAUCAUGAUGAACAUAGUCUCUGAACUUCUGAUCAGCUCUUUUAUGUUUGGAUUGCACCUCUGCAGCGUGUUCUUAACAUGAGAGAAACACAAGUCUUUUCAGCUUGCUGCCAUAAAUAGUUAUUUUUCUGAACUAAACAAGUGCAUUUUGCCAAUAAAUUUUCAGAGAUAAUAGACAAGAUGUUAUAGAAUAAUUAUUGAAUGAAACCCCUAGUUUUCAAUAAAAAAAAAAAAAAAAUAUAUAUAUAUAUAUAUAUAUAUAUAUAUAGGGGAGAGCGGGGUAAGUUGUCACACUUUUCAUACUGUCUAACAUUUUUAAGAGCACUGUACAUCACAAUGAUAUAAAUGUCAUACCAAAUGAAAGAAUGAAGUCUUGGGCACAUAUGUUGUUUUCAUUACAUUGUCAUCUUAUAUCAUUACUGAGUUGUAGACUGUUGAAUAGAGAAUGUGCACUUGUGACAACUUGCCCCAUCGGCAGGUAAGUUGUCACACUAGACUAUCUAAAAAUAAGAACACAAUUAUUUAAUUCUGAUUAUUGAUUUUAACUUUAUAAUUCUACCAGAACUGGAAAUGUAAAAAAAAUCAUGCUUAGAGAAUUUGGAAAAAAACAAUAAUUUCAAUCCAAACAAUACACAUUUGAAUCAAAACACGUUUAAGUGGCAAGACCACUUUCUUUGAACUUUAAACUCAAACGUUCUCUGGCUUGCACAUAGAUCCAUGAUAACUAAAUGAAAUACUGCAGAUAACUCGCUUAACUUUACAAGUUUAACCUCUGGACAAAACAGAUUCCCUGUAUCUGACUAAUCAGACUCAUCUUCAGAGUCAUAAUUCUGGCAUACCUAAAUUGCCUGAACUGAAGUGCAAGCAUCAUGGCCCCAUUUGUUGAUUUUUACGCAUUUUACCCAUGCAGGACUCUCUUGGACGAAUGUUUGAAUAUGGCUCCACAACGUCAAGGCAGAAGCACUCUUCAUCAUCUGAUGAUGACUCUUCUAUUAUUUUUCUUCUUUUAACUGCCUUGUUUUUAGUAGGUCCAGAUUUUGACUUGCAUACAACAAUUUUGAAACCACUUUUAGCUAGAUUCAGCUUUAUUCUUUUCUAUUUCUAAUUGCUUUUCUAUUUCUAAGAAUUGCUCUGGAGUUGGUAGUCCGCUGUCAGCAAUAG